GACGAACGCUGGCGGCGUGCUUAACACAUGCAAGUCGAACGGAAAGGCCCUGCUUUUGUGGGGUGCUCGAGUGGCGAACGGGUGAGUAACACGUGAGUAACCUGCCCUUGACUUUGGGAUAACUUCAGGAAACUGGGGCUAAUACCGGAUAGGAGCUCCUGCUGCAUGGCGGGGGUUGGAAAGUUUCGGCGGUUGGGGAUGGACUCGCGGCUUAUCAGCUUGUUGGUGGGGUAGUGGCUUACCAAGGCUUUGACGGGUAGCCGGCCUGAGAGGGUGACCGGCCACAUUGGGACUGAGAUACGGCCCAGACUCCUGCGGGAGGCAGCAGUGGGGAAUAGUGCACGAUGGGCGGAAGCCUGAUGCAGCAACGCCGCAUGCGGGAUGACGGCCUUCGGGUUAUAAACCGCGUGCGCCUGUGACGAAGCGUGAGUGACGGUAAUGGGUAAAGAAGCACCGGCUAACUACGUG
rnacentral:rRNA from 1 species